GCAGGUCUCUCCGCGGUGCUGAGGAGCUCGGGCUGGAAUUUCCCCGCAGCGCCGCCCCGCCGGGAGGGACCAGGAGGGAUCUACCCGAGCCCGAUGAGCAGCCCGGGGAGACGCCCGAAACCCAGAACCUGCGCGUUAAAACUGAAAACUUUCCUCCCUUCCACCAUGUCAGUCCCAGGGAUCGAACUUACGCGGUCAGGCACGGUGGUACUCACCAUGGAUGUUUUCCCAGGGGGUAUUCCUGGAAGAGAUUAAGCCUGGGGACUCAUUUCUUCUGGGGACAAUUCAAGGGAAGCAUAGUUAAUCACUCCCCAUCUGUUAGAAACUGGAGGCUGACCCUGGAGAGGAGUGAUGUAUUGGCCCCAUGAGCUGUGUCCUGUGUUGGAGCUAAGGGCCCCCAAGGAAACAGAGAGUGUAACCCGGCAGUCCUUCUAGAAUGUCCUGCCAAGUCUGAGAGGGUGAGAACAGGCCUCAUUGGGCCUGGUAUAACAGGGUUCUAAUCUCAGCUACCUUCAGGCUGACACUGGAAGCUAGAGAAUUCAAGACCUGCCUGGAAUACAGAGACCCUAGCACAAACCCGAAACCAAUAAAUAACAAAAUCUUCGCUUGAGGAGAUAAGAGGUAAAUGACGGGACAGAGCUAAGGACAAAGGACAGCAAACGGGAUGCCAGUGGUACAAGCGCUUCAUCUCACAGACAAACCCACCGGAGAUGUUUGCUUCCUUGUGGGAAUUCGGCCUGUGUCCCUCUCUUCCCACCAAGGCAGUCUCUAGGCAGAACAGAAGAAAUCACUUAAGUGAUUAAGUACUGAAGGAACCAAGGAGCUAGACGCCAUGGUCUAGAGAAAACUGGGUUGAAUCUUGCUUACAGCAGGAGUGUCUAAGAAGGCCUUGCUUGUCCAGUUCCUAUGAGGUGGUGGCACUGAGUGAGGCCAUUGGUGGGGCCUGAUGUAGAGCAGCUCACAUCCCUUUAGGACAAGGGCUGGCCUUAGCCGGGGCCCUCCCUCAGUUCACAAAGGAUGUGGGAGUUAGCCUGUGGGCAGGAGGGAAUCCAGCUGUGUGGGAACAGGAUGGGUGGGUGAGAGUAUUUAGCCUCAGGGAGCAAAUAGAAGAACCCAGAAGGGAGGG
rnacentral:lncRNA from 1 species